AAGCACAAGCGAACUGACUACCGGCGGUGGAAGUCCUCGGCCGAGAUUUCCUACGAAGAGGCCCUGAGGAGGGCCCGGCGCGGUCGCCGGGAGAAUGUGGGGCUGUACCCCGCGCCUGUGCCUCUGCCCUACGCCAGCCCCUACGCCUACGUGGCUAGCGACUCCGAGUACUCGGCCGAGUGCGAGUCCCUGUUCCACUCCACCGUGGUGGACACCAGUGAGGACGAGCAGAGCAAUUACACCACCAACUGCUUCGGGGACAGCGAGUCGAGUGUGAGCGAGGGCGAGUUCGUGGGGGAGAGCACAACCACCAGCGACUCUGAAGAAAGCGGGGGCUUAAUUUGGUCCCAGUUUGUCCAGACUCUGCCCAUUCAAACGAAACAGCAGCAGGCUGUCCCACUAUUUGAGUGAUACCUUGAUUAAGUUGGUGAACAUAGAUUUCUUCAUGAUAAGUUGGUGAACAUAGAUUUCUUCAUGAUAAAAGGCUCUCGCCUAUUCUUCAGAAGCCGUUAAGGUGCCUUCCCUGUGAUUUAGAGAUAAGACUGAGGCUUAGAGAGAUCCAGUCAUUUCAUAGCUGAUACAUGGAAGAAUCAAGAUGCAAACCCAGGUUUCAACUUUCUUGCUAAGUUUGGCCUCAUCUGGGCCUUCCUUUAGAAGCCCAGUGUGCUAUCCAUUGCACGACACAGCCUGGGCCUUCCUUUCUAAUCCUGGUGAUCUGAGCUCUGAAAUGAAACUUUUGCAAGCCCACCGCUUGGAUUGUAUAUGGUGAGAACAGCCCUUUCCAAGACUCAGCCAGCACCAAACUGGCUUUCGACAGAUCAUGAGCUGUACCAGGCCUUGAUAGAUGUCAAAAAAAUCCCAGCCACUUUUGGUUGGCUGGCAUCACAGUUGACUGUGACAGAAUUGACCACAAGAGAAGACUCCCUUUCAAACUCUUCAUUCUCUGGUUCAGAGGUUUGAUGUAAUGGUUGUCUCAUCGUACAUGGUCAGCCACAGGAUAUACUUCAUCCAUUUCAGAGCUGUACUCCUGAGUUCCAUGCUAUAAUCAGAAAUAUGUGGCACAUUUUGAACAAAGGAAAUAUAUACCCAACAAAGUGUUAAAAUGGAGCUGCCAACCAGACAAACCCUAGAAAUAUGUAGCCACUUACAGGCAGAACACAACUACAUGUGUUCCCAAUGUGGAAGGCAUUCCGGAAGUGUAUGCAUCCACAUUUCUACAUGAGGCAUCGCCUAUGCAGGCAAUCAAAGGAUGUUGAUGGAUAAGUGUUUCAGGCAGAAUAAUGGCCCUCAAAGAUGUUGACACCAGAAUCUUCAGAACCUUUGCAUAUGUUACCUAACAUGACAAAAGGGACUUUGCUGAUGUGAUUAAGGUUAAGAACUUUGAGAAGGGAAGAUUAUCCUGGAUUAUACAGGUCGACGUUUAUUUCUUUCUGAACUUUCCUGGAGGAUCAUCGGCCAUACUCCAGCAGAAGGGUGGAUUUGAAAAAAUAACGUUUCCACGGCAACAGUGGCAGCAAUUCAAAACCAGCAGAAAUAGGCCAGGAGCAGUGGAGGCUAUUGGGCGAUUUGUUCCAGGAAAUUCUGACAACUCACUGGGAAGCUGAAACUGCUGGGGACUUGGCUGUUCAGCUCCUGCUCUUUUUCUAUUUGGACACCUGGACAUGGAUGUCCGCUUCCCUGGGAGUACCAGUUACACCCUUUCCAAGUUGUCUGAAGGAAGACGUUGGAGAAUUCACAUGCUAUUUUAGCUGGCUCUGUGAUUGCAAUCACACAAAUCAUUACAUUCCAGCGAGAUCCCAUCAACAGAAGGUUUUUCCAUUUCAGUCUGUCAAGUUUUUCAGGCAUGAAUACUGUAAGCAAGAAGAGAAAAGUUACAAUAAAUUGACAUUUAUAGUUGAAGUUGACCUCUAACCUGUGAAGCUUUCUUGAACAUUCCCUCACUGAAAACUCCUUUUCAUUACUUUUCCUGUAUUGUAUCUCUACAUGCUCAUGAGCAGUUUAAAUCAUUGGCAGAUCUGGAUAGUAUCUGCUAAAAACAUGUUGGCACCUAGAUUCCACUGUUACUAACUAAACAUGAAGCUAAAAAUAAAUGAGAGAUGCUAG
ensembl:lncRNA LINC01500 long intergenic non-protein coding RNA 1500